UACAACAUACUUGUAUCUACGGUAAAAAAAGCAAUAUCACGGUAUACUCGGUGCCCUUUGUCUGCUCGUUAAAAAACUUAGCUAUUGUGAUUAGAAUCCCUUGGACAGGGAUUUAACAGUGGCGACGAGUAAAACGGCUAAGUGCGUGCGUUGCUACGAAAGCUUAGUUUUAAUUUUUUUUACAAACUUAGUUCGGGCGAACCAACUUUAUCAUCAUCUGGCAAACAUCACUAGUUGGUCGGCAGUAGUGCGGUUACAUUGGUUUUAUCAAAGUCGGUGGGUCUUUGAGAAAGUGUACCACGUGGUAUCACGGUAUAUUGAAUGGGAAUAUUGCUAGUUUCAAUUGGAAGGAUAAAUCGUACCGUGAAAAGGAGUGGACCUUGGUAUGCACGUAGUGUUCUUAUCACUAGUGGUGACUUUCGAUUCGGAUCAGAGCCCGAAAGCGGAGGAUUUUAGCCCGGUUUCAACGGUGGAUUGGCUCGGUUCCAUUUUGUCGAUAGAAGAACCUUGAGCAAGCCUAGUCGUUUGGCGAAAGUGUGUGGCAAAGCUGUUUUGGAUACAUGUUGGAAACGUAGCCGUAAUGGCACACCGUAACCAACUCAAGGUAUGCAAGGAGGGUCUCGUGUGGUCAUUACCUAACGUUAUGGUCCGUAAGCUGCGGUUGGACGAUAUACCUAAUCACGAUACAGAGAGGGAAGCGAUUGCUAUGGAAGGAGUAACCGGCGAAGACCCUGAGCCGAUAGAACCGGCUCCAAAUGGAGAGACACGAAAUAGAAAAAGGAAGAUGCACGGUCCUGAGGUCGGAGAAGUGCGUCGAUCAAAGCGAAUAAGAAAAGAGAACAAAGAGAAAGAUUACUGUUACAAGUUCUGAAUUGGACGGCUAUAAUGUAUUGUAACAAAAUGUAUUGAAUUCGAUUUAUUUUUGAUUUAUUUUAUUGAUAAAGUUUUUGAGUAUUAAGUUGGCAAUGGCCAAUAUCAGAAUGUAUUCUAAAAGAGGAAGAAUUGUAAUAUCCAUGCGUGUCACCUGCGCAUUCGAACUAUUAGGGCUCGGCUGCCUUCGGGCACCGAUCUCAUCAGAGAGGUUUAUUGCGAUCGAGAAAUAAAAACUACAAUCAGUUAAAUUUGUGAAGUCAAACAUACAA